rnacentral:rRNA from 1 species
AUUGAACGCUGGCGGCAUGCUUUACACAUGCAAGUCGAACGGUAACAGGGUGCUUGCACCGCUGACGAGUGGCGAACGGGUGAGUAAUGCGUCGGAACGUGCCGAGUAGUGGGGGAUAACGCAGCGAAAGUUGUGCUAAUACCGCAUACGUACUGAGGUAGAAAGUGGGGGACCUUCGGGCCUCACGCUAUUCGAGCGGCCGACGUCUGAUUAGCUAGUAGGUGAGGUAAAGGCUCACCUAGGCGACGAUCAGUAGCGGGUCUGAGAGGAUGAUCCGCCACGCUGGGACUGAGACACGGCCCAGACUCCUACGGGAGGCAGCAGUGGGGAAUUUUGGACAAUGGGAGGAAGCCUGAUCUAGCCAUGCCGCGUGUCUGAAGAAGGCCUUCGGGUUGUAAAGGACUUUUGUCAGGGAGGAAAUCCCUAGUGCUAAUAACACUGGGGGAUGACAGUACCUGAAGAAUAAGCACCGGCUAACUACGUGCCAGCCGCCGCUGUAA